rnacentral:lncRNA from 1 species
UGGUUUCGAUUUAUCGACGAUAUUGACAUGAAGUGGGACAAUACUGAACAAGAACUAAAUCUGUUCAUUCAUCAUGCCAACAAUGCCCAUCCCUCAAUAAAAUUCACAUAUGAAAUCUCUGACUCUAAGAUCACAUUUCUUGACACUACAACGCAAUUGAGGGAUGGAAACAUAUUAACAGAUCUGUAUUGCAAGCCCACAGACAAACAUCAAUAUCUAUCUCCUUUGAGUUGUCAUCCCAAACACUGCACCAAGAGCAUUCCCUACAGCCAGGCCAUACGAAUAAAAAG